CGCUGCGUUUGAGCAAAUGAUAGGGCAGAGAAAAAGGGGCUCCUUCGGUCAGUUCAUGGCCGUGAUUUAUUAGGCACAAACAGACCAGUGGUGGGUUUUGAUAGGUGCCAUGUUAAGGGUUCUCACCCAGGGCAAAUUCUAAGUGCAGUUGGGGUUGAUGGAAAUAAUGGGAUGUAUCCAAUUACUUUUGCUGUUGUUGAAGUUGAAAACACAGAGACUUGGAGUUGGUUCUUUGACAUAUUCUUUCAAGAUGUAGGUAUUCAAAAUGGCAAUGGCUGGGUUUUCAUUACUGAUAAGCAAAAAGGUUUAGGGAAUGCCCUUCAUGCUUUGAUGCCCAAUGCUGAGCACAGGCAUUGUGUGAGGCAUUUACACAAUAAUUUCAAGCUUGCAUGCCAUACUAGUGCAGCUUUGAAGCAAAGGUUGUGGGUAGUAGCUAGGGCAACAACAUUACCUGUAUUUGAAGCUGAAAUGGAGCAGAUGUUGGGUCAGUCUGAGGCAGCAUAUAAGUGACUUGAGGAUAGACCAGCUGCUCAUUGGAGUAGAUCACACUUUAGUACAGUCCCAAAGUGUGAUAUACUUCUAAACAACUUGUGUGAGUGUUUUAAUGCUGCAAUUUUAAAAGCAAGGGAUAAGCCCAUUGUUACUCUUUUAGAGAGAAUUAGAACAUACUUGAUGCUUAUAAUGGCUAGACUUAGAGAAACAGUGUGGCCCCAUGAGGUUGGUCCAAGAAUAUUUGCUAUUGUGGAGAAGAAUUCAAUUGAAAGUGGCCACUGCAUAGCUUCGUAUGCUGGUGGGGAGAAGUAUCAAGUUAAUAGUAUGUUGGGAGCUAUGUUUGUUGUGGAUUUAAAAAGGCAUACAUGCACCUGCAGAAAAUGGGACUUAAGUGGAAUCCCAUGUCCACAUGCCUUGGUUGCAAUAGCAAAGAGUGAGCACAAACCUCUGGAUUUUGUGCAUGCACUUUACAAAAGGCCGGCAUAUGAUAGGGCUUAUGAGGGCUAUAUAUCUCCAAUGCCUAGUCAAGCAUAUUGGAGAAAAACAGGUCAUGUACCUAUCAGGCCACCUCUUUAUCACAUCCAACCAGGAAGGCCCAAACUUAGUAGAAAUAAAGAACUUGAUGAAAUACCAAGAGGGGCAACAAAACUUAAGAGGUAUGGCAUUGUAAUGACAUGCCGUAAUUGUGGACAAGAAGGUCACAAUUUUGCAAGUUGUUCCCAAAAUGGACAGGGGCAACCUAGAGGUGCUAGAGCAAGAGUCGGCAGAAGGGGAAGAGGAGCUGUGAGGGGAAGAGGUGCAAGGGGAAGAGGAGCUACAACUAGUAAUGGAGGUGUGCUAGUGCCAAUGCAAGUGGAACAGUUGGUGUCAAGGGCAGAGGUGUUGUGAGAGGCAGAGAUAUUGUGAGUGAACAAGAACAAACUCAUGCCAAACCAAAUUUUAAUGUGAAAAGAGGAGCCCAUGCCCCCCAUAUCAUAAGGAAGACCAAUCUAUUUGUUGGUUCACAACCUGCCCAAGGUUCAAGUUCCCAAGCUCCUUCACAACCUACCCAAAGUUCACAAGCUCCUUCACAACCUGCCCAAAGUUCACAAGCUCAUCAAGGUUCAAGUUCACAACCUCAACCAAUGGUAACUUCUCCAAAAAGGCCUAGGUUAAAAUCUCCAGCAAAACGAAUAUGGCCAUGGAGAGUUUAGUGAGAUAUUUGAAGUGAAUGGUUGAAGAAUUGUGAUGUUUAUUUUGGUUUUGUGGAUCAUUUUGGUUUGCAAUCUAUU